UGGGCAACCUGCCCCUCUCUCUGGGAUAACCCCGGGAAAACCGGAGCUAAUACCGGAGUACUCCGGCUGGAUCGCAUGGUCCGGCCGGGAAAGGUCCGCCGGAGAGGGAUGGGCCCGCGGCCUAUCAGCUUGUUGGUGGGGUCAUGGCUCACCAAGGCGACGACGGGUAGCUGGUCUGAGAGGACGACCAGCCACACUGGAACUGAGAUACGGUCCAGACUCCGUACGGGAGGCA
rnacentral:rRNA from 1 species